AGAGUUUGAUCCUGGCUCAGAUUGAACGCUGGCGGCGUGCUUAACACAUGCAAGUCGAGCGGUAACAGGCGUAGCAAUACGUGCUGACGAGCGGCGAACGGGUGAGUAAUGAUUCGGAAUCUUCCUCGUAGUGGGGAAUAACCUGGGGAAACUCAGGCUAAUACCGCAUACGAACUACGGUUGAAAGCAGGGGAUCGCAAGACCUUGCGCUAUGAGAUGAGCCGAAUUCGGAUUAGCUAGUUGGUGGGGUAAAGGCCUACCAAGGNCGACGAUCCGUAGCUGGUCUGAGAGGACAACCAGCCACACUGGGACUGAGACACGGCCCANACUCCUAUCGGAGGCAGCAGUGGGGAAUAUUGGACAAUGGGGGCAACCCUGNAUCCAGCGACGCCGCGGUGUGUGAAGAAGGCCUGCGGGUUGUAAAGCACUUUUAGUGGGGACAAAAAGCCGAGGGCUANCACCUUUNGGUCUUGAUUUANCCCAAAGAAAAAGCACCGGGCUAACUCUGUGCCNGCAGGCCGCGGUAAUACAGAGGGUGCAAGCGUNUAAUCGGAAUUACUGGGCGUAAAGCGUGCGUAGUCGGUUAUCUAAGUCAGGUGUGAAAUCCCCGGGCUCAACCUGGGGAAUUGCAUNUGAUACUGGGAUAGCUAGAGUUCGGNNGAGGGAAGUGGAAUUUCUGGGUGUAGNGGUGAAAUGCGUANAUAUCNGAAGGG
rnacentral:rRNA from 1 species